AAGUCGUAACAAGGUAACCGUAGGUGAACCUGCGGUUGGAUCAUUAAAAAGUUGAAAGGACGGUUGACCAAAAGUUAGCCUGACUUGACACCUGUGAACUUGUAUUAGUCUCUUCUGGGAUAUUAAGCCCAGAAUUUCAAACUUUGUAUUUUAACUAGUCUUGAUUUAAAUAUUAAAUAUUUAACAACUUUUGACAACGGAUCUCUUGGUUCUC
rnacentral:misc_RNA from 1 species